rnacentral:rRNA from 1 species
UACGUAGGGUGCGAGCGUUGUCCGGAAUUAUUGGGCGUAAAGGGCUCGUAGGCGGUCUGUCACGUCGGGAGUGAAAACUCGGGGCUCAACCCCGAGCCUGCUUCCGAUACGGGCAGACUAGAGGUAUGCAGGGGAGAAUGGAAUUCCUGGUGUAGCGGUGAAAUGCGCAGAUAUCAGGAGGAACACCGGUGGCGAAGGCGGCAUCCUGGACCAUAACUGACGCUGAGGCGCGAAAGCUAGGGGAGCAAACGGG